CCCAGCCCUAUUUUGUAUUUUAUUUAGAGACAGGGUCUCACUGAGUUGCUUAGCACCUUGCUUUUGCUGAGGCUGGCUUUGAUACUCCUGCCUCAUCCUCCAGAGCCGCUGGGAUUACAGGCAUGUGCCUCCAUACCUGGCUGGAUUUCAGUUUUUAAUACAUGGAUCUUGGGGGACACCUUCAGACCAUAGUAGCAGAUAAGGAAGUCAAGGCUUGGAGUGGUGAAUUGACUUACCCAGGAUCCAAGAGCUAGAUUUUGCACAAAGGAUUUCUCAGUCCAGGUAUAAGCACUGAAUCGUACUACUCACUAAUAAAUCAACAAAGCACUUCAAGCAUCCUCUACCUGCAAGACACCUAGGCAGGCUUUGUGAUGGAUGCAACUCCGAGCCAGGAUGAGAUGUCCGAGCACGUAUGUAACACACACUUUACAAACACAACCUGUUAUAUGAUGAAUGUGAUAAAGCAAUAAGUUGGUCUAUUACAUGAGGUCACUGGACUUUAGGGUGAGAAUGUUGCCUUUGUGUGUGUACCAGAGACCCCUUGGGCACUCUGGUGAAGCCUAUGAAGUCUUAUCAGGGUAAAUGCGCAAAAUUAAAGCAUA
rnacentral:lncRNA from 1 species